rnacentral:lncRNA from 1 species
UCUACAAAGAUUAGGAAUCAAGCACGCAUGCAUAGAUCACCAUCCGACGCAUCGGAGCACACUGUCUUCUACAGCUGCAAUCUUCACAGAUCUCUUCAAUGAAACCGCCUUUGCUAAACUCCCCCUGAAUCUAGGCUUCAAUCUUCCACCUCCACUGAAGUACUUCACCAAGUACGUCAGCACCCAAUGCAUACCAGUGACACCAAAACGCUUGAUCACCCAAGCACACACAAAGCUCACACGAGCUAUACACGAUGGCUAACUCCACCACACAAAGCGCCAACUCCAACGCCACCAAAC